rnacentral:lncRNA from 1 species
AGGAGAUUUCGGUUUGGAGUUCUGCCUACAUAGUGCAUGGGGUCCACUUUUGAAGUUGUUACUUGCAUUUAGUGGUUUCUUUGUGUCUUCCUUUUAUUGCUUAGUUGUUUAAGAAUUUAAUGCUUAAAGAACAAAGUCAUAUACCUUAUUCUUGGUGGUGUAGAGAAGAUCAAGCUUCUUGUUCUUUCCAUCUUCAUCAACACCCUAAAUCCAAGAGGAUCCAAAGCUUAAAAGUUAUAUUUUAAACACCCUAUGUUUUUUGUAACAUCAUUCUAAUGUCUUUCAAAGGAUCAUUGAUGGAUUGGUUUUGUUAUUUACUUGAAAUUUAUUAGAAAUUUUUAUAGCUCCCGUUGCCGGUUUUUGUAAAUAAAACUAACUAUUUUAUGUAUCAAAACCCAUCAGUGGUAUCAGAGUCAUCUUUUAAACGUUAGAUUAAUUUUUCAUGUUAUGAUAAUCUUUGGUUUUUGGAAAAAAAAAGCAUGGAUUUCUUUUUGGUUAAAUAAAUGUCUAUAUUUGUUUUCUUUGGAAAAUUGUCAUUAAAAGUGUUUAUUUUUUAUGUAACUGUUUUUCCAUGCAUUUUGGUUAUAUAAAAGUUGCCUUAGAAAAAACAAAUAGUUGUUUGUCGAUAUGUUUGUUGUGUAUAAACAAGCCAUUAGGACAUUUGUGGUUUCUAAUUGUUCAUAUGUGAUGAAAGUGAGAAAAUCCAGUGAACCUUAGACUUGAAGAAUCCAAGUGGUGAAAAUACCGAAACAGAGUUGUGAAUCAACCAAGUUAAUGAAAAAACAUUUUUUAUGCUUAAUAUCAAUGAUUUAAAUGUGUCUCAGAUUCAUCAGAAUUCAGUUACAAGUGUUUGAAUGUAAAACACACUAAUACUCUCAAGUGGCUCUCUGAAUACUAGUCUAAAUAGCAAAGUGAUCAGAAUGAGCAGAAAGAAGCAGGGGGUGAGCAGUUUUAUAAUGGAGCCCAAUGGGCCUAUUCAUAGGCUUUGGAAAAGUCCAUGACAUGGCUUGACCAAUCAGAUGUUGACACAUCAUCAUAACUUAGUCAUCGGUUGACACAUUUUCCCUACUUAAUAGAGAAUAGAUGGAAUAUUCCAAUUAUGUUAGUAUUAUGUUAGGGUUCCAUCCAAGUUUUGAGUCUUCAUAUUUCUUGAGCCUUCUUGAUCAACAUUGAAAGUAUGAUCCAAGUUUUGAGUCUUCAUAUAAAUAGAAGGUUAAGCCUUCAUUUAUUCCUCACACAUUCCAAAUCCAAUCCUCUAAAAUAUCCAUUCUUUGGACCGAAUGUUCUAGUAUUUAGCAGUUUUAGCGGGCCCCUGAUUCACCGGAGAUCCCGAUAAUCACAAGAUUUCGGUUUGGAGUUCUGCCUACAUAGUGCAUGGGGUCCACUUUUGAAUUUGUGACUUGCUUUUAGUGGUUUCUUUGUGUCUUCCUUUUAUUGCUUAGUUGUUUAAGAAUUUAAUGCUUAAAGAACAAAGUCAUACAAUAACAAAUCUUUCAAUUUGAGUACCUUAUUCUUGGUGGUGUAGAGAAGAUCAAGCUUCUUGUUCUUUCCAUCUUCAUCAACACCCUAAAUCCAAGAGGAUCCAAAGCU